rfam:Canis lupus familiaris chromosome 35, whole genome shotgun sequence.
ACAAAGGCUCUUUUCAGAGCCAUCUCUAUAGUCAUAAAAAGAUGA